rnacentral:rRNA from 1 species
CUUCUUACGCUGGCGGUAGGCCUAACACAUGCAAGUCGAACGGCAGCACAGUAAGAGCUUGCUCUUAUCGGGUGGCGAGUGGCGCGUACGGGUGAGGAAUACAUCGUGAAUCUACCUUUUCGUGGGGGAUAACGUAGGGAAACUUACGCUAAUACCGCAUACAGACGCUUCGGGUGAAAGCAGGGGACCUUCGGGCCUUGCGCGGAUAGAUGAGCCGAUGUCUGAUUACCUAGUUGGCGGGGUAAAGGCCCACCAAGGCGACGAUCCGUAGCUGGUCUGAGAGGAUGAUCAGCCACACUGGAACUGAGACACGGUCCAGACUCCUACGGGAGGCAGCAGUGGGGAAUAUUGGACAAUGGGCGCAAGCCUGAUCCAGCCAUACCGCGUGGGUGAAGAAGGCCUUCGGGUUGUAAAGCCCUUUUGUUGGGAAAGAAAAGCAGUCGAUUAAUACUCGGUUGUUCUGACGGUACCCAAAGAAUAAGCACCGGCUAACUUCGUGCCAGCAGCCGCGGUAAUACGAAGGGUGCAAGCGUUACUCGGAAUUACUGGGCGUAAAGCGUGCGUAGGUGGUUGUUUAAGUCUGUUGUGAAAGCCCUGGGCUCAACCUGGGAAUUGCAGUGGAUACUGGGCGACUAGAGUGUGGUAA